AGUGAGCGGGAUGAGCUCAAAUUUAAAAUCUGGCUGGUUUACUAGUCCGAAUUGUAGUUUAUAGAAGCGUUUUCGGUGGCAGCCUGGGUAUAAAUCCUUUGGAAUAGGGUAUCAUAGAGGGUGAGAAUCCCGUCUUUGACUCAGUGCAUGCUACUAUGUGAUACGUUUUCAAAGAGUCGAGUUGUUUGGGAAUGCAGCUCAAAAUGGGUGGUAAAUUUCAUCUAAAGCUAAAUAUUGGCGAGAGACCGAUAGCGAACAAGUACCGUGAGGGAAAGAUGAAAAGAACUUUGAAAAGAGAGUUAAACAGUGCGUGAAAUUGUUGAAAGGGAAACGUUUGACACCAGUUAUGCGGGUGGAAAAUCAGUCUUUUGCAAUGGGGAGUUGUGGGCGUUCAGACCGCAAGGCUGGCGUUUGCUUCAUCUUUGUUGUAAGUGAUGCACUUUUUCAUUUGCAGGUCAACAUCAGUUUGCUUUGCUGGACAAAACCCCAAGGGAAGGUGGCAGCUUAGGCUGUGUUAUAGCCCUGGGGCGAUACAGUGGAGUGGACUGAGGUUUCGCAGUGUGUGCUCUCGGGCAAGGCUGACUGGGUGCUAUGGGAUCGUUCGGCGUACAAUGCAUGCAUUUUGCGUCGUGUCUUUUUUAUACUCGCUCAACUCGGCUCUUCCACACUUAGGAUGUUGACUUAAUGGUUUUAAACGACCCGUCUUGAAACACGGAC
rnacentral:rRNA from 2 species